GACGAACGCUGGCGGCGUGCCUAACACAUGCAAGUCGAGCGAGGUACUUAUAACAGAACGUUUUCGGAGGGAAGAUUUAAGUAGCCUAGCGGCGGAUGGGUGAGUAAUAUAUGAGAAACCUGCCUUUCACAAAGGAAUAGCCUCGGGAAACCGGGAUUAAUACCUUAUGAGACUUGUUCUUCGCAUGAAGAACAAGUUAAAGCGUAAAGCGGUGGAAGAUGGUCUCAUAUCCCAUUAGCUAGUUGGUGAGAUAGAAGCUUACCAAGGCAACGAUGGGUAACCGGCCUGAGAGGGUGAACGGUCACACUGGAACUGAGACACGGUCCAGACUCCUACGGGAGGCAGCAGUGGGGAAUCUUGCACAAUGGAGGGAACUCUGAUGCAGCGACGCCGCGUGAAUGAUUGAAGGUUUUCGGAUCGUAAAGUUCUGUCCUAAGGGAGAUAAUGACGGUACCUUAGGNGGAAGCCCCGGCUAACUACGUGCCAGCAGCAGCCGCAGUAAU
rnacentral:rRNA from 1 species